ensembl:lncRNA
GGUCCAAAUGUUUUAACCUGGGCUCUGAGCAGAUCACUCAUACCAAUUAGACUGUAAAAAGAAUCCAAAGAAGCCCGGAAAAAAGUCAUGGAGCACACUCCAGUGGCCAAAACGGCAAACAGAAUUUUGAUGGCAUAUGUGAGAUCUGCCCGUUGUGUUGUGUGCAGCUCCUAUACAAUCUAAAUGGUUGUGGCUUAGCCAAUUCCCUAAGGAUGUGUUUUGGGUAAUGACCGUCUUUGUGUAGGAGUGCGUGGAUGCCUGGAGGAUGGUGGAGGUCUCUGUGUAGUCCGGGAGCUGAUGGGUCGAAGUGUGGUGCUGGAGGACUUCUGUGCCGAUCUCCGGGCGUGAGGCUGCGCUGUGGAUGUUUUGUCCUCCACCGAUUGGGGGUUUGGACGCAGAUUUUCCUCCUCAGACUGGCCUGUGCUGAAUAUGGAUCUGGAGUGGGUCCUCCGUUCCCUCUGGGGUUUUGGAGAAGGCAGCGCGUCAGUAAGGAUGGAGAGAGCGGGAGACCCUGGUGAGGGGUGGGAGGACAGGUGAGGAUCGUCAUCAUCUCCUUCAUCAUCCUUCUCCCCAUCAUCACAAGGAUGAUGAUGAUGAUGAUGAUUGUUGUUAUUAUGUUCUUCAUCCUGUUCCUCCUCCUCAGCUAUACUCUUCUCUUCUUCCGGUUGUUGGAGGGGGAGGGGGGGCCCAUCUCCGCCCCUCAGGUCAGUCAUGGUGCCUAUGGAAGCCGUGGUCGCUGGUCGAGGUGGGAGAGGAGAUGCAGUACUGACUGCAGCAGGAACCUGGAAUAAGUGGGGAGCAAACAUUCUCCCAAGGGGGACGAGGGGAGCAGCCAGGGGACGCGGAGACCCACCAGACCCACCUGCAGGCACUGGCUGGGUUAGAAAAGAAAAGAUUGGAUCCCGCCAUCCCGAAGGGAUGGAGGGAUCAGAUGCACUCUCCAUCCAGGGACCUGGAACGAGUUGGGAGGAAACAUUCUCCCAAGGGGGACGAGGGGAGCAGCCAGGGGAAGCGGAAACCCACCAGACCCACCUGCAGGCACUGGCUGGGUUAGAAAAUAAAAGAUUGGAUCCCCCCAUCCAGAACAGAUGGAGGGAUCAGAUGCACUCUCCAUCCAGGGACCUGGAACGAGUUGGGAGGAAACAUUCUCCCAAGGGGGACGAGGGGAGCAGCCAGGGGAAGCGGAAACCCACCAGACCCACCUGCAGGCACUGGCUGGGUUAGAAAAUAAAAGAUUGGAUCCCCCCAUCCAGAACAGAUGGAGGGAUCAGAUGCACUCUCCAUCCAGGCAGGGACCUGGAACGAGUUGGGAGGAAACAUUCUCCCAAGGGGGACGAGGGGAGCAGCCAGGGGAAGCGGAAACCCACCAGACCCACCUGCAGGCACUGGCUGGGUUAGAAAAUAAAAGAUUGGAUCCCCCCAUCCAGAACAGAUGGAGGGAUCAGAUGCACUCUCCAUCCAGGCAGGUACCGGGAGGCCCACAUCCACCAGCCGCAUCCCCAGCAUCCCCCACAGUAUCUGUCAUGGAACUCAUGACUACAAAAGCACAACUGACAAUGACCUUCAUUAUGGUGAUGCAUUAA